GAAAUUUUCUUAGUGACUCUUCUGAAACGAAUAGUAAAUUUAGGGUUUAGAAAACUUUUCUAGUGCAUCUUAUGUUAGAAGAUUUCCCACAAAACUCUUGUGAAACGAAAAUAUUUUACCUAAUUGGAAUUUUGUCUCCUUCUAUAAAAAAAUAUUUACAUAUUCUCUCUCUCUUCCUCUCAAAUGGCUGAAACAAAAGUGUAAAGUUUCUCAUAGUAAAACUCUCUAACCUCUCUC
rnacentral:lncRNA from 1 species